CCUGCGGAGGGAUCAUUACCGAGUUUACAACUCCCAAACCCCUGUGAACAUACCUAUAACGUUGCCUCGGCGGCGCCCGUCUCCCCGUAAAACGGGAGCGGCCCGCCAGAGGAAAACCAAACUCUUGUUUUAGAAGUAUCUUCUGAGUAACAAAAAUAAUCAAUUAAAACUUUCAACAACGGAUCUCUUGGUUCUGGCAUCGAUGAAGAACGCAGCGAAAUGCGAUAAGUAAUGUGAAUUGCAGAAUUCAGUGAAUCAUCGAAUCUUUGAACGCACAUUGCGCCCGCCAGUACUCUGGCGGGCAUGCCUGUUCGAGCGUCAUUUCAACCCUCAAGCCCCAGCGGUUUGGUGUUGGGCGUCGGCCGUCCUCUGCGGCGGCCGUGCCCCAAAUACAGUGGCGGACUCGCUGUUGCCUCCUCUGCGUAGUAGUAAUAUCUCGCACCGGAAAAGCAGCGUGCCCACGCCGUAAAACAACCCAAUUUUCUGAAUGUUGACCUCGGAUCAGGUAGGAAUACCCGCUGAACUUAAGCAUAUC
rnacentral:rRNA from 1 species